GAUCGCUGUGAUGUGGGUGGUUCGCCGCCUAUGAUACAGCGAGAAGUUCAUUGAACCUUAUCAUUUAGAGGAAGGAGAAGUCGUAACAAGGUUUCCGUAGGUGAACCUGCGGAAGGAUCAUUG
rnacentral:rRNA from 1 species